CAUAACUUUAUUAUAGGUUUUUACCUGAAUUUGAGGAACUUCGGAGAACAAUUGCAGAUUGAAUAUUAAGAAGCUUGCCUCAGAAGUGAUUACAUCAAUAGGGCUCAGUGCUAUCUCUUAAAGUAGAGCUGAUAUUGGGAUCAGCAGAGGUCACAUAUCAAAUUAAAAUAUCAUAAUCUAUAUAUCCACCCAACACAAAGCUCUUAAGAAAAAGCUCACAUAGUAGUCCUUCACUUAAAAGACGAAGUCAGAACUAUAAUGAUAGAUGGGUAGACAUAAAAACAAUACGAAAAAGCAAGGAAACAAACCAUGAAAAACAAUCCUUAACACUUCAACAGCAGACUUCAUUGACACCACAAAAGAGAAAAUGUCAGAGAAGAAUUUAGAAAAUUUGUAAUUAAUCUAUUCUAUGAGCUAAAAGAUGAUGUAAAGAGUGAAAUCAGAGAGAAAAUACAAGAAGCGAAAGAUCACUUUAAUAAAGAGAGAUUCUGAAAAAGAAUCAAAUGGAAAUCCUUGAAGUGAAGAAAUGAAAAUAUCAAAUUAAAAAUUUAAUGGCAAGCAUCACCAAUAAAUAAGAUCAAUUCAAGGAUGGAUUUUCAGGCCUUGAAGACAAACCAUAUAAUCUUUUUUUUUAAAGAGAGAGAGAGAGAGAGAAUUUUUAAUAUUUAUUUUUUAGUUAUUGGUGGACACAACAUCUUUG
rnacentral:lncRNA from 1 species